ACCAGAGUGCUUUUGUAUCAAUGAUCUGGCUUGGGUCUCAAGGUUGGAAGAAGAGGGAGAAGAAAAGAGGCUGGAGUGUGGUCCACAUACGCAGUGUCCACAGUUAGAGAUAUAUGAACAAGCCGAAGACCAGUAACCUCAUUUAACCUAGGGAAUCUUCUUAACUAAAUACAGUAUUGUCCUUCCAGGAGUAUCCUCUGCCCCCUGGAAGGUAGCUGUCGUUUGUGGCUACUAGAUGAAAGCAGAAAAGACAGAGAAGCAUCUUACAGAAUUAACUUUGAUGCCCUAAACAUAUUUUUUUGGCACCUAAAUAUAUAACCCCUGGCAAGAAAAAAAACCCAAACAAACCAAAAACCAAAAAACAAAGCAGAGCAUUUAAGCAAGGCUUUUUUAAGAUAGGUAAAUCAUUUUCUUUUUAAAUGAAAUUCAGUUUGACUGCAUGAAAUAUGAACAGUAAUUAAAUGCACAGUCUGGGCCUUCCAUACUUUAAAGCACUUUCUUAAAAAAAAAAAAAAAAAGAGUACUCACCUCAGACAGGCCAAUUACCCAAGAAUGAUGAAGUCAAGAG